UAGGGAAUCUUCCACAAUGGACGCAAGUCUGAUGGAGCAACGCCGCGUGAGUGAAGAAGGUUUUCGGACCGUAAAGCUCUGUUGUUGGUGAAGAAGGAUAGAGGUAGUAACUGGCCUUUAUUUGACGGUAAUCAACCAGAAAGUCACGGCUAACUACGUGCCAGCAGCCGCGGUAAUACGUAGGUGGCAAGCGUUGUCCGAAUUUAUUGGGCGUAAAGCGAGCGCAGGCGGAAGAAUAAGUCUGAUGUGAAAGCCCUCGGCUUAACCGAGGAAUUGCAUCGGAAACUGUUUUCUUGAGUGCAGAAGAGGAGAGUAGAACUCCAUGUGUAGCGGUGGAAUGCGUAGAUAUAUGGAAGAAUACCAGUGGCGAAGGCGGCUCUCUGGUCUGCAACUGACGCUGAGGCUCGAAAGCAUGGGUAGCGAACAGGAUUAGAUACCCUGGUAGUCCAUGCCGUAAACGAUGAGUGCUAAGUGUUGGGAGGCUUCCGCCUCUCAGUGCUGCAGCUAACGCAUUAAGCACUCCGCCUGGGGGAGUACGACCGCA
rnacentral:rRNA from 1 species